rnacentral:rRNA from 1 species
UACAGAGGUCUCAAGCGUUGUUCGGAUUCAUUGGGCGUAAAGGGCGCGUAGGCGGCGUGGUAAGUCGGAUGUGAAAUCUCGGGGCUUAACUCCGAAACUGCAUUCGAUACUGCCGUGCUUGAGGACUGGAGAGGAGACUGGAAUUUACGGUGUAGCGGUGAAAUGCGUAGAUAUCGUAAGGAAGACCAGUGGCGAAGGCGGGUCUCUGGACAGUUCCUGACGCUGAGGCACGAAAGCCAGGGGAGCAAACGGG